GACGAACGCUGGCGGCGUGCUUAACACAUGCAAGUCGAACGGUAAGGCCCUUCGGGGUACACGAGUGGCGAACGGGUGAGUAACACGUGGGUGAUCUGCCCUGCACUUCGGGAUAAGCCUGGGAAACUGGGUCUAAUACCGGAUAGGACCACUGCCUGCAUGGGUGGUGGUGGAAAGCUUUUGCGGUGUGGGAUGGGCCCGCGGCCUAUCAGCUUGUUGGUGGGGUGAUGGCCUACCAAGGCGACGACGGGUAGCCAGCCUGAGAGGGUGACCGGCCACACUGGGACUGAGAUACUGCCCAGAUUCCUACGGGAGGCAGCAGUGGGGAAUAUUGCACAAUGGGCGCAAGCCUGAUGCAGCGACGCCGCGUGAGGGAUGACGGCCUUCGGGUUGUAAACCUCUUUCAGCACCGACGAAGCGCAAGUGACGGUAGGUGCAGAAGAAGGACCGGCCAACUACGUGCCAGCAGCCGCGGUAA
rnacentral:rRNA from 1 species